rnacentral:tRNA from 1 species
CACCAAGAAGCUACAUUAGCAUUAACCUUUUAAGUUAAAGACUGAGGAAUUAUGUCCUCCUUGGUGG